UGCAGGAUAGCUCAGCUGGUAGAGCAUGAGACUCUUAAUCUCAGGCUGAAGGGUUCGAGCCCUAUGCUGGGCAA